rnacentral:rRNA from 1 species
GACGAACCGUGCGAACGUUGUUCGGAAUCACUGGGCUUAAAGGGCGCGUAGGCGGGUUCGCAAGUCUGUGGUGAAAGCCUCCAGCUUAACUGGAGAAGUGCCGUGGAUACUGCGAAUCUUGAGGAGGGUAGGGGCGUCUGGAACGGUCGGUGGAGCGGUGAAAUGCGUAGAUAUCAUCUGGAACGCCAAUGGUGAAAACAGCUCGCUGGGGGUUUGCAGACGCUGAGACACGAAAGCCAGGGGAGCGAACGGG